rnacentral:rRNA from 1 species
AUUGAACGCUGGCGGCAGGCCUAACACAUGCAAGUCGAGCGGAUGAAGGGAGCUUGCUCCUGGAUUCAGCGGCGGACGGGUGAGUAAUGCCUAGGAAUCUGCCUGGUAGUGGGGGAUAACGUCCGGAAACGGGCGCUAAUACCGCAUACGUCCUGAGGGAGAAAGUGGGGGAUCUUCGGACCUCACGCUAUCAGAUGAGCCUAGGUCGGAUUAGCUAGUUGGUGGGGUAAAGGCCUACCAAGGCGACGAUCCGUAACUGGUCUGAGAGGAUGAUCAGUCACACUGGAACUGAGACACGGUCCAGACUCCUACGUGAGGCAGCAGUGGGGAAUAUUGGACAAUGGGCGAAAGCCUGAUCCAGCCAUGCCGCGUGUGUGAAGAAGGUCUUCGGAUUGUAAAGCACUUUAAGUUGGGAGGAAGGGCAGUAAGUUAAUACCUUGCUGUUUUGACGUUACCAACAGAAUAAGCACCGGCUAACUGCGU